AUGUCCCGGAGACGCUCUACCGCGGGCUUAAGAACUACAGUAAUGCCAAACAGGGGAUGUAACUUAUCUACAUCAAGCUCUACACCUAUCAGGGGCUCGUGUACAUUCAUUACUGUUCCUGGAGUCUGUCACGGGGAUGUGAAGCCACAAAAUGUUAUGAUGGGCAGGGCCUUUGGAUGGGAAUCAUCUUCGGUAUUUUGGUCCAGGUCUUGUUGUUCGUGGCCAUCACACUGCACACCAUCUGGCAAAAUAAGCAACCAUGUUGACAGCCUGGCAUCUCUUUGUUCCAUUCUAUUGACUUCAUGUGGCAUUAUGUAUGAAGCCCUUUGA
rnacentral:rRNA from 1 species